AUAUAGCACUUUUCUACUCUCCCAGAGUACUCAAAGCACUCUAUUCAACAUACCACAUUCACUUUCUGCUUUUUAGUGCUUCCUAACUGUAGGAGCCAUUUUGGGGUUAAUGCCUUAUGUGGCCGCUAGAGGUCACCUUUUUCUGUUUUGCUCAUGUAAAGGUAUUUAAGGUAGACGCACGUAAUCAGCGUCAGGUGUGUCGUUAAGUGUGAGAAGGCAAACAGUUUGUGACCGCUGCGCUGUUAUGUCAAGAUGGCAUUGGAAUAAAGAACAAAAAGGACAAGAGAAGUACAGCUGGAUUUCUUGGACUGUUUACUUAAUUCAUACAUACCAGUGACAUCGCGUCACCCCCGUUAACGACCACCUCAGUGGCUUCAAGCGUAGGCUUAGCCUCUACAAUUAGAGUCACAAACUAGCUUUGCUAUGGGGAAAAGUUUGUGCCAACUGCGCCGCGGUGUUUUGGGGGCUCGGCGCAAACAGGACAAUUAAAGUCUGAGUGAUCGAUCGCCGUGGAGAGCUGAAUGCCGUUUGGAAACGUUUUACCGUGGAGGGUUCACGAGGAGCGGACAGCUGGAGUAUCGGUCUGUCAGCUGACGACGUGGGAUUCCUGGUGGCUGUUCCGUGGAAAUUGGAGAGGACUCAGAAUUCUUCAUCGGAAUCAGCACGGCGCCCAACGUAAGCUUUUCCUUUCAUUUAGUUCUUGUCUUCUGUCCUGCACCCAUGUCUCGUCCUCUGUGUGUGAAGAACAAAGAGGAUGUUGUCCAGCGGGUGAUGACAGAGCUGCUGAGGGUCAGUGUGAUAUUUGGAUGUGA
rnacentral:lncRNA from 1 species